CUCGAGGAACUUGAGUGAAGGACAAGAAAAGACCUGACUUGGUGUGGAGCAGUUGGAAUGGUUUUUUUUUUUUUUUUUUUUUUUUUUUGAGAU
rnacentral:ribozyme from 1 species